AUGCCCAGGCAGGCCCCCGAGAAUGCCUUCCGUGCCCUCGCCCUCCCUGGGGAGAGGAAACUGCAGUGUUUCCUCUGCAAUGUCGGGGAUUGGCCACCAGCUUCCUCUGCACCGUCUCUGGCAGGAGCCUGUGGUCCCUGCACCUGCGGGAGGCAGCGAGCAGGAGGCCCGCAGGAGGUACGGAGGCCCCGGGCCAAGCCGGGGCACGGGUGGGCCCGGAGCCUGCAGGCUGCUCGCCCCCGCCCCGACCAGGAGGCUGAGGUCCAGGGCUGCUCAGCGCCGGGCACCCGGGCACCAGGAGUGGUGGGGACACUGCAGCCGAGCGGGGGCAGGGAGCCGGGUGGCUUCAGCUCGUGGCCCGCCCCCCCUGCCAGGCCUCCUUUGUGGCUGGUCACCCAGGCUGCUGGCCCCAAGUGGGACGCCGCACGUGCCCUGGUGACCGCAGCCCGGCCUCCCGCGGGCGAAUUGUGCCUCUGCCAUCCACCGCGGCCCUGUGCCCUGCCUGUGCCCCUGCCUGUCCCCCUGGCGGGCUCCGGGGCCCCACAGCUUUGCGGGCAACAGCGAGGGAGGCCCAGGAGCUUCGGGAGGAGGAUGGGCGAAAUGAAAAUUGUCCACAACUGGGGUCCAUCGUGUCAAGAUCCGGCUGCACUUAGGCGUCUCCUGGGACAUUCCGAGGCCACGCGGCCGAGCGCUCCCAGGUGCCAGAGCGGCCUGGCCUCAGAGCCCCGUGCUCCCCGCGGCCCCGCCACAUGCUCCGGGCUUGGUCCCCUCGCGCCCCCCCCCCCCCCCCCCCGCCUAACCCCACUGCCUGUCUCUCCCGGGGCCGCCUUGGAGGGUCCCCAGCCUGGGGGACAGGUCGCCAGCCAGGCUCGGACGCACCCCCACAGUCCCGUGGUUUUCUCGUCCUUGCUGGCACUAAGUUCUGUACAGAACGCCUCGGCCUGGAAGGUUAAACAGGAUUGCCAGGCUGGAACGCGGUUCAGGACCAGGGCUCUUACGUCCACAGAGCGUGUGUGA
rnacentral:lncRNA from 1 species